UACAACCGUCAUGCUAUGUGGAUCUCGGCGGCGGCGGCGGCUCCUCCCUCUACCCGCCUGCCGCGCUACCACCUCAUCUCGCGCUCCUGACAUGCCGAGGGGGCGAGAGGAGUAAGAGAGCAGGGACGAGUGCGCAGAGAAGAAAGAUGCUUGCCGCGAAGCUGCCAAGCGGGAAAACAGAUGAGGAGCGACACUUGCGGAGGCGGCCGAGAUCGGGUACUACAUCUUAGAUCUUCACCGUCGUCUAGGUCAGGCCUCCCUCAGAUGCCCUGAUCCUCCAUCAUCAGAUGAAAAGAUCCAGUUCUUUGGCGACAUGCAAAGCUGCCGGUGGUUGUUUGAUCAAUUGUGUGAGGUAUCUCACAUGGCACCUGAAUGCGUAUUAAUGGUGUCAAUCUGUAUCUACAUGUCGUGUGGUUCAAAAGCCAAAAAGGAGCAGCAGGAUGGCCGGUCCAAGCUUGAGCAGAUUCUGUGUUGGGGUUCGAUGCUGAAAUUCAUUAGAUUUCAGUUCUGUAUAGUUUCAGGUUGGUUGCCAAUGAAAUAGACUGUCCAAGGCGCCUGAAGAAAAUGUAAUCCAAUGGUAACACAAUUAAUUAUUUGAAGUUGAUUAAAAAAUACAGAGAGGGUGGCUCUGCUUCGUCUUCUUUGAUUACGAGCUCCUAGCAUGUUUAUUUAUUUAUUUCCCUCCAGUCGAAAUUGCGCCAUUGCUGGCCCUUCCCUUCCGAUCCAACGGAGCACUUGCUGCCUCGUGUAAACGCCAUUUAAAUUUGUGCUUGCAAGUGACUGAAUCCCGCCGAGUAUUAUUAGGCGGAGGAAGGGACAGAAACAGGGCACGCCACUCUGCAUUUUUGGUCUCGCCAAAACGACUUCAGUAUCAGCCAGGGGGCUGUGCAUCACUGGGAAUUUUCCAUUUGGAAGGUCCAAUUCCUGACCAUGAUGCUAUAUGAACCGCAACCUGGAACAGUGAAUCCUGAUAGCGAAUGUGCCCGCGGCGCAAGAGAGGAGGGGGCAUCAGCUUGAGUACAGCCAAGUGGCGGGACAGACAGGCGCGAUGGCAAUGGCAAUGGAAUUGGCCGACAAAUUGCUACUGGUGCUCCAGAGCUACUCGCUGCCAGUUUGGGCCAUAAUAAUCUCGGGGCUCUUCGUCGCCGUAUCACUCUCGCUGUCCAUCUACUUGCUCUUGAACCACCUCUCGGCCUACAAGAACCCAGAGGAGCAGAAGUUCCUCGUCGGCGUCGUUCUGAUGGUGUCGAUAUACGCAAUCGAGUCGGUAAGGUGGCUAUGCCAUGUCUUGUUCAAGUGCGCGGUCACAAUGUUGUUGGCUGGGAGAGGUCGAUCCAGCCGUUAACUCUUGGCGUGGACCAGUAGGUUCAAUUUCAGCUUUUAUGUAAUCUUUGUGUUGAUUUCUUUUGAAUUGCAAAAUCAUUUGCUGAUACUUUUCUCCCCUUUCAGUCAUAAAAUGUAAGGUGACCUUCCACAUUUAGUCCGAUAUUUUGUUCA